rnacentral:rRNA from 1 species
AGAGAUGUGUGAUGACGCAUAUCAAUAAGCGGAGGAAAAGAAACUAACAAGGAUUCCCUUAGUAACGGCGAGUGAAGCGGGAAGAGCUCAAAUUUGAAAUCUUCAAGGUUCUACCUUGACGAAUUGUAGUUUAAAGAAGUGUUUUCUGUUAGAGAGGUGGUAAAAGUUCUUUGGAAUAGGACAUCAUAGAGGGUGAGAAUCCCGUAUUUGACCGUUACUUUCCUAGCUUUGUGAUACACUUUCAAAGAGUCGGAUUGUUUGGGAAUGCAGUCCAAAAUGGGUGGUAAAUUUCAUCUAAAGCUAAAUAUUGGCGAGAGACCGAUAGCGAACAAGUACCGUGAGGGAAAGAUGAAAAGAACUUUGAAAAGAGAGUUAAACAGUACGUGAAAUUGUCAAAAGGGAAGCGUUUGACACCAGUGUUGUUUUUCCGAAAAUCAAUUACUAAAUGUUUUGUUUUUGAGGAGUGAUGACUUCAUCGGCUUCCUUCUCUCUUUCACGAAACUUUCUUAAUGCACUUUUCGGUUAACAAGUCAACAUCAAUUUCUUUUGUUGUAAAAGAGUAUGAGGAAGGUGGCUUUCUUUUCGGAGAAAGUGUUUAUAGCCCUUAUACCUCUACAAUCGGAGAGAUUGAGGUCUGCAGCGUAGAUCCUUCGGGGUUAGAUACAUUUGUGCUAAGUUAUAGCUUUUCAUAGACAACUUGUUGACUAUGAUUAGUCUUGUAGCUUACUCGCUUAUGCUAUUUUACCUACGCUUAGGAUGUUGAUAGUCACAGCGUGUAC